AGACCCGAAACCCGGUGAUCUAGCCAUGGGCAGGUUGAAGGUUGGGUAACACUAACUGGAGGACCGAACCGACUAAUGUUGAAAAAUUAGCGGAUGACCUGUGGCUGGGGGUGAAAGGCCAAUCAAACCGGGAGAUAGCUGGUUCUCCCCGAAAGCUAUUUAGGUAGCGCCUCGUGAAUUCAUCUCCGGGGGUAGAGCACUGUUUCGGCUAGGGGGCCAUCCCGGCUUACCAACCCGAUGCAAACUGCGAAUACCGGAGAAUGUUAUCACGGGAGACACACGGCGGGUGCUAACGUCCGUCGUGAAGAGGGAAACAACCCAGACCGCCAGCUAAGGUCCCAAAGUCAUGGUUAAGUGGGAAACGAUGUGGGAAGGCCCAGACAGCCAGGAUGUUGGCUUAGAAGCAGCCAUCAUUUAAAGAAAGCGUAAUAGCUCACUGGUCGAGUCGGCCUGCGCGGAAGAUGUAACGGGGCUAAACCAUGCACCGAAGCUGCGGCAGCGACGCUUAUGCGUUGUUGGGUAGGGGAGCGUUCUGUAAGCCUGUGAAGGUGGCCUGUGAGGGUUGCUGGAGGUAUCAGAAGUGCGAAUGCUGACAUAAGUAACGAUAAAGCGGGUGAAAAGCCCGCUCGCCGGAAGACCAAGGGUUCCUGUCCAACGUUAAUCGGGGCAGGGUGAGUCGACCCCUAAGGCGAGGCCGAAAGGCGUAGUCGAUGGGAAACAGGUUAAUAUUCCUGUACUUGGUGUUACUGCGAAGGGGGGACGGAGAAGGCUAUGUUGGCCGGGCGACGGUUGUCCCGGUUUAAGCGUGUAGGUGUGUGUUCCAGGUAAAUCCGGUUCACUUUAACACUGAGGCGUGAUGACGAGGCACUACGGUGCUGAAGCAACAAAUGCCCUGCUUCCAGGAAAAGCCUCUAAGCAUCAGGUAACAUCAAAUCGUACCCCAAACCGACACAGGUGGUCAGGUAGAGAAUACCAAGGCGCUUGAGAGAACUCGGGUGAAGGAACUAGGCAAAA
rnacentral:rRNA from 1 species